UCGCGAUCUUUUUUCCCUACUCUCAUUGCUCUCAGAUCGAAAGAAUCUCAGAUUUCAAAUUCUCCAGAAACUGCGACCACUCAGUGUUGUUGUCUGUGUUUGGAGAUGGUGGCUGCAAGUCGGGAUAGUGUUGUUAUCUCUCUCUCAAGCUAAAGAUAAAGCUAAGCAGUUUUGGGUUUUGAAAACAAAGUGAAAACCCACUUCAUCCAUCUCCUUCUGACAGAUUUUCAGAGGCUAACCAGUAGUAAUGGUAAUAUAGAGAUGUGGAUUAUGAGGUGAGACUUUAUUUGGAGAUUGAAAGUUUUGUACAGCUAGAGGAAGGUUCAUAAAUAUCCUUUUUCGUAUUGGAUACUCAGCUAUAUGAAUUUUGUUGUUGUUUCCUGUAAUUUCUUGAUUAAAUAUAGUUGAAAUAUCAUGUAUCCAGUAUGAACUAGACUGCCUAAGAAAUUGGUAUUCUCAUUGAAUUCUUUAGUAAUUUACUCAACUCAAUUCUCAUUUACGAUGUUUCUAUGUGCUUUUUCCUUUGUCAUAGUAUGUUCCACUGCAUAAAAAAUGUAUUCAACUUACAUGUUUGUUGCAUUAGUAUUUUCUUCAAUAUGAAUGAAACUGAUGAAAAUGUGUGAGGAGAUAGAAUGAAGCUAAUCAUUGCAAUGAUUAGGUUUCCAUGGGAAGGUACUUGGUUGAUGAGAUUAGACUUUACCCGGCCAAACUGAUAAUAUGCAUUAUCUGCUCCCGCUUGGAUAAGCAUGAAACUAAUGAUAUACAUGUGACUUCAGCAUUGCAGUUCAUAUGGACUUUGAAAAUACAUAUCAAGCUCCAUAAACUUUUUUACAUGGUUGCUCUCUAGGUAUGCUAUUAUUGCUUCCUCUUAUAGUUUUCAAUGUUUGUUCUCAUUCCACUGUUGGUUUUUCAUAAAUUAUUACUAGACAGGUUAUCUCAAAUAUAUGAGAAGAUGAUGUUUUUAAAUGGACUUUGAAGCAGUCAAAAGACCUUUUUGACUUGAUGUUGAUAUGUGGUACAUAACAUAAUUGAAAAGUAUCACUGUAUCAUCGGAUCAAUUUGAUCCCUAUGUGGCAUAUCUUUUGAAUCUUUUAAUCCUAUAACGAUAUGGACUGCAAUUUCGAAUUGUUUGCUUUAGUUUCUAUCUCGAAUAUCUCCCAUCUAUGCUUUUCCGUCUUCAAUUUCGGAGAUGAAUUCGAAGUUUAAGGGAGGAUAAAAGUGAUUUAUUGUUCCGGUAAGUUUAUAUGCUUAUCCUAUAUAUUAAUAACCAUAUAUGAAAAGGGAAUAGUUUACCCAUACCAUUGCUGGUUGUUUAUUCUGCUAUGCUGUUAAAGUCAGUUGGUUCCAUUACAGCUAAUAUCAUGCUUCUAAGUCAAGUAUUAAAGUUAAAAUUUCAAAUUUUUGUCAUAUUCAUUGUCAAAUUUAUAGGGGCAGGUGCAAUACAUAAAUUUUUAAUUUGUUGUUUGUUAUAAGCAUUCCCAUUUUGUUUUGCAGGAUGAUUAAAUGAAUAGUGUGGUCUCAACAUAUAUUACUGUUUUGAACUAGGGUAUGACUUAUGUUGUGCCAUCUAUAGCUUCUUUUCAUCAUUUUUUGCCCCCGUAGCUGUUUAGGCAAGAAAUUUUGUAUAUUUCAUUAGUGUGUUUAUAUCAUUUUUAUUACCGUCAUCACAUAAACUUCGUUUGGUUAUGUGGCUACAUUAAGAAUUGCAUAAUGUAUAGUAGUAUUAAAAAUCUCAUGAGCAUAUUUUUUGCUGACAUGGCGGGGUUGUAAUUUAAGAAUUCAUAAAUAAUGAGUUAUUGAACAGAUGGAUAUUUCCCUCAAACUAUUUAAGAGAUAAGUUGCUAGACUGAGAAACUCACUUUAACACAGCUCUGGACACUGCACCCUCGAUUGCAUAUUUGUGUUAGCAAUGUAUUC